GAACGCCGUGUGCGGUGAAAGUCGCACGCACGGUGUGAAUCGGGGGAAAAGUUGGAGAUAACAUCAAAUUCUUACCUAUCGAUAU
rfam:Arcobacter thereius strain 117434 AAX28_contig000001, whole genome shotgun sequence.